rnacentral:rRNA from 1 species
AUACGUAGGUGGCAAGCGUUGUCCGGAUUUACUGGGUGUAAAGGGUGCGUAGGCGGGGCAGCAAGUUGGAUGUGAAAUCCUCGGGCUCAACUCGAGAACUGCAUUCAAAACUGUUGCUCUUGAGUGCAGUAGAGGCAAGCGGAAUUCCCGGUGUAGCGGUGAAAUGCGCAGAGAUCGGGAGGAACACCAGUGGCGAAGGCGGCUUGCUGGGCUGUUACUGAGGCUGAGGCACGAAAGCAUGGGUAGCAAACAGGAUUAGAUACCCUGGUAGUCCAUGCUGUAAACGAUGAUUACUAGGUGUGGGUGGACUGACCCCAUCCGUGCCGGAGUUAACACAUUAAGUAAUCCACCUGGGGAGUACGGCCGCAAGGUUGAAACUCAAAUGAAUUGACGGGG